rnacentral:rRNA from 1 species
UACGUAGGGUGCAAGCGUUAAUCGGAAUUACUGGGCGUAAAGCGUGCGCAGGCGGUUAUAUAAGACAGAUGUGAAAUCCCCGGGCUCAACCUGGGAACUGCAUUAGUGACUGUAUAGCUAGAGUGCGGCAGAGGGGGAUGGAAUUCCGCGUGUAGCAGUGAAAUGCGUAGAUAUGCGGAGGAACACCGAUGGCGAAGGCAAUCCCCUGGGCCUGCACUGACGCUCAUGCACGAAAGCGUGGGGAGCAAACAGG